GAUGAACGCUGGCGGCGUGCCUAAUACAUGCAAGUCGAGCGAACAGACGAGGAGCUUGCUCCUCUGACGUUAGCGGCGGACGGGUGAGUAACACGUGGAUAACCUACCUAUAAGACUGGGAUAACUUCGGGAAACCGGAGCUAAUACCGGAUAAUAUAUUGAACCGCAUGGUUCAAUAGUGAAAGACGGUUUUGCUGUCACUUAUAGAUGGAUCCGCGCCGCAUUAGCUAGUUGGUAAGGUAACGGCUUACCAAGGCAACGAUGCGUAGCCGACCUGAGAGGGUGAUCGACCACACUGGAGCUGAGACACGGUCCAGACUCCUACGGGAGGCAGCAGUAGGGAAUCUUCCGCAAUGGGCGAAAGCCUGACGGAGCAACGCCGCGUGAGUGAUGAAGGUCUUCGGAUCGUAAAACUCUGUUAUUAGGGAAGAACAAAUGUGUAAGUAACUAUGCACGUCUUGACGGUACCUAAUCAGAAAGCCACGGCUAACUACGUG
rnacentral:rRNA from 1 species